rfam:Triticum aestivum genome assembly, contig: Triticum_aestivum_CS42_TGACv1_scaffold_091987_1DS
GGAUGCGAUCAUACCAGCACUAAAGCACCAGAUGCCAUCUGAACUUCGAAGUUAAGCGUGUUUGGGCGAGAGUAGUACUAGGAUGGUUGACCUCCUGGGAAGUCCUCGUGUUGCAUUCC